UCAGGACGAACGCUGGCGGCGUGCCUAAUACAUGCAAGUCGAACGGUCUUUCUAUGGAAGCUUGCUUCCACUGAGAAGAUAGUGGCGAACGGGUGAGUAACACGUGGGUAACCUGCCCAUAAGAGGGGGGAUAACAUCCGGAAACGGGUGCUAAUACCGCAUAGUUUUCUUGAUCGCAUGAUCGGGAAAGGAAAGACGGCCUUUGUGCUGUCGCUUAUGGAUGGACCCGCGGCGUAUUAGUUAGUUGGUGAGGUAACGGCUCACCAAGACGAUGAUACGUAGCCGACCUGAGAGGGUGAUCGGCCACAUUGGGACUGAGACACGGCCCAAACUCCUACGGGAGGCAGCAGUAGGGAAUCUUCCGCAAUGGACGAAAGUCUGACGGAGCAACGCCGCGUGAGUGAAGAAAGGUUUUCGGAUCGUAAAACUCUGUUGUCAGAGAAGAACAAGUUGGAGAGUAACUGCUCCAGCCUUGACGGUAUCUGACCAGAAAGCCACGGCUAACUACGUGCCAGCAGCGGC
rnacentral:rRNA from 1 species